rnacentral:rRNA from 1 species
AAACAUGUCUCCCCGGUAUACUUUUAUGCGGAGUCUAACCUGCCCAGUGAUUAAUUUAACGGCCGCAGUACCCUGACUGUGCAAAGGUAGCAUAAUCUCUUGCUCUAUAAUUGAGGGCUAGUAUGAAUGGUUGAACGAGAACAAGACUGUCUCCUAAAAAUUUAAUAGAAAUUAACCUACAGGUGAAGAGGCCUGUAUAAAACUAAAAGACGAGAAGACCCUAUCGAGCUUUAGUAAUAUUAAGAAUUUAGCUAUAAUAAAUACUUUAGUUGGGGCGACUAAGGAAUAAGCAAAACUUCUUUAUCUAUAAUUAUGUGAACAAAUUGAUCCAUUAAAUAUGAAAAGUGGAAAAGCUACCGUAGGGAUAACAGCGUAAUUUUCUUUAAAAGUACAUAUUGAAAAGAAAGUUUGCGACCUCGAUGUUGGACUAAAAUUUCCGAAAGAUGCAGAAGUCUUUAAAGGUUGGUCUGUUCGACCAUUAAAAUUUUACAUGAUCUGA